CCUACGGGUGGCAGCAGUGGGGAAUAUUGCACAAUGGGCGCAAGCCUGAUGCAGCCAUGCCGCGUGUGUGAAGAAGGCCUUCGGGUUGUAAAGCACUUUCAGCGGGGGGGAAGGCGUUAAGGUUAAUAACCUUGUCGAUUGACGUUACCCGCAGAAGAAGCACCGGCUAACUCCGUGCCAGCAGCCGCGGUAAUACGGAGGGUGCAAGCGUUAAUCGGAAUUACUGGGCGUAAAGCGCACGCAGGCGGUCUGUCAAGUCGGAUGUGAAAUCCCCGGGCUCAACCUGGGAACUGCAUUCGAAACUGGCAGGCUAGAGUCUUGUAGAGGGGGGUAGAAUUCCAGGUGUAGCGGUGAAAUGCGUAGAGAUCUGGAGGAAUACCGGUGGCGAAGGCGGCCCCCUGGACAAAGACUGACGCUCAGGUGCGAAAGCGUGGGGAGCAAACAGGAUUAGAUACCCGAGUAGUC
rnacentral:rRNA from 1 species